rnacentral:rRNA from 1 species
GAUGAACGCUGGCGGCGUGCCUAAUACAUGCAAGUCGAGCGAACAGAUAAGGAGCUUGCUCCUUUGACGUUAGCGGCGGACGGGUGAGUAACACGUGGGUAACCUACCUAUAAGACUGGAAUAACUCCGGGAAACCGGGGCUAAUGCCGGAUAACAUUUAGAACCGCAUGGUUCUAAAGUGAAAGAUGGUUUUGCUAUCACUUAUAGAUGGACCCGCGCCGUAUUAGCUAGUUGGUAAGGUAACGGCUUACCAAGGCAACGAUACUAAGCCGACCUGAGAGGUGGUUCGCCCAACCUGGAACGGAGCCACGCUCCAGCCUCCUACGGGGGGCAGCGUAGGGGAUUCUUCCCCAGAGGGCGAAGGCCGGACGGGCCAACGCCGCGUGAGUGAGGAGGUUUUUCGGAUCGUAAAACUCUUUUAUUAGGAAAAAAGAAAUGUGUAAGUAACUGUGCACGUCUUGACGGUACCUAAUCAGAAAGCCACGGCUAACUACGUG